rnacentral:lncRNA from 1 species
AGAGGAGGUUCCUGGAGGUAGGAGUUUAGCUUUAGUUACUCAGUCAAGGGAAACAAUCACAUACCCAGCAAUUUUUGGGGAGCCAGUGGGCCCGGAAGAGGAGCCAUUUAUAAAUAGCUGGUCAUCGGGGUUGGUGAGAGGCUCGGAGGAAAUGUUUGGAAAGUGUGGCUGUAGGUGAUCCAGGAUGUCAGUGCAAGAAUGAGUAGGAGGGGAAGAGGAUACGGGGAGUAAGGAUGCUGGGUUGAGAGGAGCACUUUUGGCAAGACUUGAAUUCAGGAUUUUUGAUAAAGAGGGCAUGGAGUAAUUGAAUCCGGGAAGGAGGAAGGGAGCUUAAUGCUUGGGAGGAAAGGAGAUUUUGUAGAUUAUGAGGACUGUGGACGGUGGUAUUUUGGCUGAAUGUUAAGGAGCUGCUGUCCACAAACUAAGUAAAGGAAGUAUUUAGAAGGCGUUGGUCUGUUAGGUUUGGAAAGGGUAUAAGAAAGGUUUGAACAGUGUUUACACAGAAGUGUGCAGGGUCUUGACAGGUAGAAAUUUCAGGUAAGAGCAUGGCUGGGUUUAGACGAGAGCUGGUUAGCACGGUGAUUUGGGGAGUUUUUAUGAAUAGAGCAUACAGUUGGAGAAGCUGUGAGGGGGAGAUGAAACUUAGUACACUGUGGUGAGUUAGCAUGUUUUUGAUGUUAUGGGUUGAAUAAACUGUUAGGUUGGCAUGGAGAGAUGGUUUUAGGCUUUUAAGGUGAGGACAGCAGCUGCUGCCAAUGCUUGGAGACAGGCAGGCCGUUUGAGAACUGUGGCUUUAAGCUGUUUAGAGAGGACUCAUGUGAUUAUACUGAACUGACCCAGAUAACCCAGGAUAAUUCACAUCUCAAGACCCUUAAACUUGAUGACGUCUGCAAAGUCCCUUUUGCCAUAAGGUUAUAUUGGCAUAUGGUCCAGGAAUUAGUGCAGAGCCACAAUCUCAGAAAGAAAAUGAGAGUGGAUAAUGAAGACAGAUCAUCUGGGUGUAAACCUGAGGAUAUUCCAGAAUAUAGAGGUUAGAGAGAUAAGAAAGAAACUAGCAAGGAAACUAAGGAGCAGCCUCUAAGUAGAAGGAAAAGAAUGGUGAGUUGUAAUUGGAGGUGAAGACAGUUUCAAGGGAGGGUAUGUUAAUUGCUGCUGACACAUCAAGGAAGAUGAGGACUGAGCAUUGACCAUUGGAUUUAGCAACAUGGAGUUUUCUGCUGACCUGGACCUGAGCAGUUUUAAUGGAGUGGUGGGGGCAAUGCAUGACAGAAGAGAAUUCAAGACAGAAGGGACUUUUCCAAAAAAAAAAGGUAUACAAAUGGUUAUUGUGCAACGUGGAAAGAUGUUCACCAAUAUUAGUCAUUUAGGAAAUGAAAAUCAAAAGCACAAUGAGUUACCAGUUCACACUCACUCAGAAGGCAAUAAUCAAAGAAAUGGACAAUAGCAAGGGUUGGGAAGGAUAUGGAGAUAUUCUCCCACAUUGCUGGUGGAAUGUAAAAAUGGUGAAGGUGAAGGUGGAAAAACGGAAAUGAAGUAUUGAGAGGGAGAUGGAAUAUAAGAAGCUUUCUGACAGAUAACCCAAUGGAACAAACUGACUGACUGGGCAUCUGAAAUGAGUAAGAAGGAGUCAAAAAUGAGCAAAAUUAUGCUUCUCUGUGGAUGCAAAUCAUAUCUCCAUUACUUACACCCAGGAGAACUUGUAUGAAGUAGUUAACUUCUCUGGAUUUUAGCUUUUUCAUGUGUACAAUGGGGGGUUUAUGCCUCAUAGAGUUGUAGAAACUGCAAAUGAGAGACUUAUGAAAAGCCUACUGAAUGACCUUAUGAAUAAUAAUAUCAUCAGUGGAAGGUGAUUUGAGGAUGUGAUGCUGUUAUCCCUGACAUGGGCAGGAGGGAACUUGGACAAAGACCAAGGAAGAAAAUAUCUCUUCUCUGAAUGUCUUGUCUGCAUUUGAGUGCAAUGUCCUUUAUUCCGUGUCUUCCACCCAAUCAGGGCCCUACUGCCACUUAAGGGGUAAUUUCUCUUUCAAUCAUUAGUUGUUCCAGCACCAAGAAGCUUAGCCUCAGUUGAGGCACCUGAGUCAGGAGGCCAGGAUCCUUGGGAGAUUGACAACAGGAGGA